CUGACCAGUGCUAAUUGAUACUUGAAGGAGAGGUUGUCCGUGUUGUCUUCUCUUUAUUUAUGAUGAAACAUACACGGGAAACCUCUUUUUUAGUAUCAAAUCCCACCCUGGGGGCA
rnacentral:pre_miRNA from 7 species